UAUUGAUGACCUGACGGUUGAAUAUUGCAUUUUCCAUAUUGAUAUUUUUUGUUCCUCUACAAGGAUAGCAGCUUUGCUUCUCUUUUGACCGAAUUCAUUGUGAGCAAACAUUUUCUACAGUAGAUCAUUAGAACUAGUAAUUGUAGCCAUAGUAACAACUACUUUGCCUGAAUUCAGUCUGAUCUGUGUGAUUUUAUUGGAAUUGUUGGCUAUGGAUUUAACAAUUCUUAUAAAGACUUCUUUAACUAUUUAUGAUAGUUCUUGUAUUUAAUGUCUUAAUAUAUGCCUUUCACCAUGUUAAGGAAGUUUCUUGCAUCAAAUUAUCUGUGUAUUCAGGGAUGAAGUUUUUAAAGAUGAGACAGACAGCAGCCAUGGAAGCUUAGCUGCUUUUAAGCCUAACAUUCAGGAGUUGGAGAUGCUUCUAGAGGCUUACUUUGUGCAGAUUGAUGGCACUCUAAACAAAUUAUCCCAUUUGAAAGAGUAUGUGGACCAUACAGAAGAUUACAUCAACAUCAUGCUAGAUGAGAAACAGAAUCAGCUGCUACAGACGGGAGUCAUGAUCACCACCGCAACUGUUGUAGUCACUGCUGGCAUUGUGGUUGUGAGCAUAUUUGGUAUGAAUAUAGGUAUUUCGCUAUUUGAUGUUCCAACUUUUUUCCAAUUCUGGGAGACCACUUUUGGCACCAUAGGCAGCUGUAUCGUCCUAUAUGUUUUAGCCAUUGGAUUGGGCAUGAGAAGUGGACUGCUGCAAUGAUCACAAUUCUGAGUUAUAAGCAUAUAGAGCUGACAUGGAAGGUGCUUUACACUUGCAAACUUGAGACCACUUUUGACAUUGUGGUAGUAUGUUAAAGUGAAAAAACAUGGCGGGAUAAUGAUGUUUUCUGCUGUAUUUUUUGAAUCCCAUUUUGAUGGUGCUCUUUAUCUCAGCUUUAUGACUGAGGGUUCAAUUUCAAAAAAUUAAUGAAAUUAUGAUCAUCUUUUUAUGAUUUGCUAA